rnacentral:rRNA from 1 species
UACGUAGGGCGCAAGCGUUAUCCGGAAUUAUUGGGCGUAAAGAGCUCGUAGGCGGUUUGUCGCGUCUGCCGUGAAAGUCCGGGGCUCAACUCCGGAUCUGCGGUGGGUACGGGCAGACUAGAGUGAUGUAGGGGAGACUGGAAUUCCUGGUGUAGCGGUGAAAUGCGUAGAUAUCUGGAGGAAUACCGGUGGCGAAGGCGGCAUCCUGGACCAUUACUGACGCUGAGGCGCGAAAGCUAGGGGAGCAAACGGG